rnacentral:lncRNA from 1 species
AUGUGUAUUUCACAACUGUAUUAUCUGAAGCAUCAUAGAUCAGUUGGUUUUUAUGACAUCAACCUCAUGUUCUCCAUUGCAGGUCAGUUCCUACUAGAGGAAUCCCGUCUGAUUGAAGCUGCUGAGAUGGCAAAGAAGGCAGCUGAACUUGAUAAUACAGAAUUUGAUGUUGUUUUCAAUGCUGCCCAUAUGCUCAGACAAGCCAGUCUUAAUGAAGAAGCUGAGAAGUAUUAUGAAUUGGCAGCAGGAUUAAGACCUAAUUGUCUCAAGACUGGGGUGCAACAGUGGACAACUAAUAUGCCUAUGUGUCUUGAUCACUUUUUCAUUCAGUCAAUCCAUUUUUGUAGAAAUUGUGACUAA